GGCAUGCCAAAACAAAUUUGCCUAAAGCUUCUACAACAGUCAAAUUCCUCUUUCUGUCUCAGAUUGUCAGAGCUGGCUGUAUGUUCAGCAUGAUGUCUCCACUUGACAUACAAAAUGGAGUUCAAGACUGUGCUCCCUGAGGACUCAGAUAUCACGGUACAAGGAAGGGAACAACCAGAAUAGGAUCUCAGGCUGUCACAUGAAGAGCACAUUUUAUAAAGAAGUAUUUAGCACCUCCAGAUGACCUCCAUACAGAAAUGCAUCAUGCUAUUCAAAUUCUGCCUGUCAACUGCUAUGAAAAACAUGUCAAUAAAACUUGUUCAAGCAGAACCUUACCUGGUUUUCACCACAUCGAGGGGGUGCAUCAAGCAAAUUUCUACAAGACCUG